GUGAGUAACACGUGGAUAACCUACCUAUAAGACUGGGAUAACUUCGGGAAACCGGAGCUAAUACCGGAUAAUAUAUUGAACCGCAUGGUUCAAUAGUGAAAGACGGUUUUGCUGUCACUUAUAGAUGGAUCCGCGCCGCAUUAGCUAGUUGGUAAGGUAACGGCUUACCAAGGCAACGAUGCGUAGCCGACCUGAGAGGGUGAUUGGCCACACUGGAACUGAGACACGGUCCAG
rnacentral:rRNA from 1 species